UCAGAAGUCCCUGGAGAUGAACGAAUCCC
rnacentral:piRNA from 1 species